rnacentral:rRNA from 1 species
UACACUCCUGCGGGAGGCAGCAGUGGGGAAUAUUGCACAAUGGGCGCAAGCCUGAUGCAGCCAUGCCGCGUGUAUGAAGAAGGCCUUCGGGUUGUAAAGUACUUUCAGCGGGGAGGAAGGCGAUAAGGUUAAUAACCUUGUCGAUUGACGUUACCCGCAGAAGAAGCACCGGCUAACUCCGUGCCAGCAGCCGCGGUAAUACGGAGGGUGCAAGCGUUAAUCGGAAUUACUGGGCGUAAAGCGCACGCAGGCGGUCUGUCAAGUCGGAUGUGAAAUCCCCGGGCUCAACCUGGGAACUGCAUUCGAAACUGGCAGGCUAGAGUCUUGUAGAGGGGGGUAGAAUUCCAGGUGUAGCGGUGAAAUGCGUAGAGAUCUGGAGGAAUACCGGUGGCGAAGGCGGCCCCCUGGACAAAGACUGACGCUCAGGUGCGAAAGCGUGGGGAGCAAACAGGAUUAGAAACCCGGGUAGUCCC